rnacentral:rRNA from 1 species
GAUGAACGCUGGCGGCGUGCCUAAUACAUGCAAGUCGAGCGAACGGACGAGAAGCUUGCUUCUCUGAUGUUAUCGGCGGACGGGUGAGUAACACGUGGAUAACCUACCUAUAAGACUGGGAUAACUUCGAGAAACCGGAGCUAAUACCGGAUACUAUUUUGAACCGCAUGGUUCAAAAGUGAAAGACGUGCUUGCUGUGACCUAUAGAUGGAUCCGCGCUGCAUUAGCUAGUUGGUAAGGUAACGGCUUACCAAGGCAACGAUGCAUAGCCGACCUGAGAGGGGGAACGGCCACACUGGAACUGGGAGACGGUCCAGACUCCGACGGGAGGCAGCAGUAGGGAAUCGUCCGAGAUGGGCGAAAGCCUGACGGAGCAACGCCGCGUGAGUGAUGAAGGUCUUCGGAGCGUAAAACUCUGUUAUUAGGGAAGAACAUUUGUGUAAGUAACUGUGCACAUCUUGACGGUACCUAAUCAGAAAGCCACGGCUAACUACGUG